rnacentral:rRNA from 1 species
UUAAAGCUUUGACCCCGGCGACUGUUCGAGUUCUGUCAAAGAGAUUGUUGUGGUGACCCAUGCUACAAAGCGGUCUUUAAUGACCUAGGGUGCGACGGUCUACCACUUCUUUUAAUAUACAAGGG